rnacentral:lncRNA from 1 species
UGGCCAUUUAUCACUCACUGUUGCGUUAUUCAAAUCUCGUACCAAGCGGCCACCGACGUUUAUUCAGAAAGCUGCGCAUGUUGUCACGAGAGCCCGCGUGUUUUCUGAUGUGUGUGUGUGUGUGUGUGUGUUUUGCUCCUCUGGAUGGAAGCGAUAAAAGCCUAUGUAUAAAUGAAUGCCAUCCUCACUUAACGCGCAUUGUGAGGGUCACGAGCGCCGCGUCCUCGUGAACUUUUAUUUCAUUCUUGCGCAUUGGAGAAGUUGAAGACUCGCUGCGACGCGGAGCCAAACCUCUGGAGGAAUUUGACGCACAUCAGGAUGUUUUUUUUUGAGGGCUAUUUGCUCGUUUUUGGUCUUCCAUGCUGGAUGAGAAACAUCUCACAGGUGCAGAAAUGGCGAAUCGCCGCCUCGGUGGCUUCUGGAGAAACUGAUCGGUGGUUUCUGAGGGCACAUUUUCAUUUCUGCGAAAUGCAGGUGGACAUUUAUGCAUUGUAUGGGAACAAAUUAAAUGUUAAGAUUUUACAUUUCGAUGCACGCGGGUAAAAUAACACAAUCCCUAAUCAACAUUACAGCAGAACGGUAAUUAUCUACUGAUUGUCAAUUUCGAUCUAUAAACUACCAACCAUAGAUAACGAAAAGUGAAGCUAAAAAACAUUACGCGAUUUUAGUACUGAGGAAUUUUGGGAUACAUCCGAUGCACCGAAUUAUGCAAAGAGAAAAACACAAUGUGCUUCAAGGCCUUUUCUUCCACCGAAGAGCAGCAGAAACACACACGAGGACCUGAACGCAUAUAGAUCCUAUACUGUAUAUUAUAUUCACGCUGGUCUUUUUUUGUGGAAAUUUGAGCUCAAGCAGUUGAUUGUCCAAACGCAAUUCUUGUGAAAUGUCGAGCGAUCAGUCGAGAAUUGUGCCUGGACAUCUGUUGCUGGAGGCUCCACGCGACUCAUCAUCAUCAUCUCUGCCUUUCAUUUCUAGAGCACAUUCUAAAAUAGAAUUCUGGAGACGUUCUAUUCUAUUCUAAAUUAGAAAUUUUGGAGAGCUUUAAUGUUGGUGGUGUAAAAUCCAACAUCGAAGAAAACUGUUUAGUUCAAUUUAAUCGGUUUUUAAUUCUAAUUAAUCUGUCGUGUUUUUGUGGUAAUGUGUUGAAUUAUCAAUAGAAAUGAGCUUAGCUUGAACGUUGAGUUAAUGACAUGUAUAAUAUGUAUUCGUUUAGUAUUAUAAUAAUUGUAUAUUGUAUUCGCUGGUUUGUUUUGAUUGUUACAUAUACAAAUCACAAAUGUUAAUUCAUCACUAAAUUAUCAGAUGUUUUUAAGUAAAAAAAAUAAUAAAUCUUAUUUACAUAUUUCACAGAUUUUACUUCAAUAAGUUUUUAAUCGUUGUUUAGUUGGAUAAGCAGAACGGAGCAAAAUGUUUAACAAAUGUUUUGAAUCAAAUGAAUUGUGGACAAAAGUAACUAUUAAACUAAGUUGAAUAAAGAUUUUAUUUGUG